rnacentral:rRNA from 1 species
UAGGGAAUCUUCGGCAAUGGGGGCAACCCUGACCGAGCAACGCCGCGUGAGUGAAGAAGGUUUUCGGAUCGUAAAGCUCUGUUGUAAGAGAAGAACGUGUGUGAGAGUGGAAAGUUCACACAGUGACGGUAACUUACCAGAAAGGGACGGCUAACUACGUGCCAGCAGCCGCGGUAAUACGUAGGUCCCGAGCGUUGUCCGGAUUUAUUGGGCGUAAAGCGAGCGCAGGCGGUUUAAUAAGUCUGAAGUUAAAGGCAGUGGCUUAACCAUUGUUCGCUUUGGAAACUGUUAAACUUGAGUGCAGAAGGGGAGAGUGGAAUUCCAUGUGUAGCGGUGAAAUGCGUAGAUAUCUGGAGGAACACCGGUGGCGAAAGCGGCUCUCUGGACUGUAACUGACGCUGAGGCUCGAAAGCGUGGGGAGCAAACAGG